AUCGGGAUGGCCGAGCGGUCUAGGGCGCCAGAAUCAAGGACUCGUGUCUUUUUAAUUUGCUCGGGUGUUCUGGUCUCCGAAUGGAGGAGUGGGUUCAAAUCCCACUCCUGACG
rnacentral:tRNA from 1 species